UUGUAAUUUACUUUAUGUUAUGUAAAUGACACGUCUUAAACAUAUUGAUUGCAUAUUUUUGGACAUUAUAUCGUAUAUCAUGUGGAUUUUUUUGUUAAAAGUGAGAUGUAAAUUAUGUGGGCACAAGGUGUCAUGUGUGUUGACGGUUCAAAAGUUGAGAUAGUGAUAUGAGAAACCGAGAGAAAUGGUCGGAAUUGCGUAUUAGAUAUGAUGUGAUUCAUUGAGUUGGCAUUGCCUUCUUUAUUUGAAUACAUUCCUACUUGUCUUUGUCCCUGUUAUGUCAGUGUUGAUUUACUUGGUUGUUUGAUUUACUUGAUUAUCUUAUUUACUUGUUCAUCGUUCGUUACUAUCCGUGUUCUCCCUCUAUUGUCCCUAUUGUUUGUAUUUUGAUUUCUCUCUGCUAUUGAUAUAACCUCGUUAUCUUUAUCUUGUCAUUUUAUUAUCAUAUCAUGUUUAUUUUAUUGGACUAGUAGGUGUCUUGACUAUUCUUCGUCGCCACCUCACUGAGGUUAGUCUUGAUACUUACUGGACACCGCCGUGGUGUGCUCA
rnacentral:lncRNA from 1 species